ACCCACUUUUAUACAGCUUUACACGCAGUGCUAAAACCAGGAGUUUCAUUAACAUUCAACAAGUGUGAUCCUGCCCUGCUGCCAGAACCCAACCACGUGAUGCUCAAUCAUCUGUACGCACUCUCGAUAAAGGAUGGUGUGAUGGUUCUCAGUGCAACUCAUCGCUAUAAGAAGAAAUAUGUGACGUCUCUUCUGUACAAGCCAAUUUAAAAUGCUGUGGAUGACACGUGAUCUACAGUCCUCAUCCACUAUAGUCCAGAUUGCACUAUAAACCCGCGAUGCAUACAGUGGAUCUGUCCGCUUCAGCAGUAGUGUGUGUGUGCGUGAGUGUGUGUGUGUGUGUGUGUCCUGUCAUCACACAUGCAAUACAUGGACAUCUAAACUUCCUGUUUGCCGUCUUGGAUGCAGCAUUUUACAGUCUUGAAGGCAAGAAUUAAUCUGUCCAAAGCUCUUUAUAAAACGCUGUCAAACAGGAUUCAUAUAUUUGAAAACUGCAGACAGAAGAUCUUCAUAAAUACAAGUGAGGUCAAGUUUUGAAUUUCAACACAGAUGAACAUUUGAAUGUAACAAUUAAUUCUAAGCUUUUAUAGCUUAUGGUCUCAUAAUUCAUUUUGUAAACUGAGGGAAAGACACAUGUUUAUUUGUCUGUUUUCAGAACAAAAGGAAGUUUCAGCCGAACACAGUGGCGUUUAGUGUUUGCGCUCCUAACAGAGCCAUUCGCUUCAAUACUUUCAUGUCGGCACUGAUAGAUGUGCUUUGAGCAGAGUUGUAUGAUUUCAACAAAAGGAAGCUGUAAAGGAGGACUGAACAGAUUAAAACAUUUCCAACAGCAUCACAGAAUGGCGCAAAUAGAUUUUGAACCGUGAGUUUUACUGCAUGUGGUUUGAAUUUCACCAUCAUGCUGUCAGACGAGCACUUUAGCCGUGUUUCACUGUGACAGACAGACAGGUUUUAUUUAUUUUAUCAAGCAGGAAUGUAUUUUUGCAUCUGUUAGAAAUAUAAAUUUUAUGCCAGACGUAUGUGGACACCUGAGCCUAACUGGCCUGUUCCAGUGGUGUUCAGGUCUGGUCUUUCUGGUGUUGAAGAACUAGAGUCAGUGAACCCUCCACAAGCUCCUGCAACAAAGUUGGAAGCACAGAAAUCUCGAGAUUGGUAUUGCGUGUAUCACGAAUAUUCAUUUUGCACUAGAAUUACUGGAAUAGACAGACUUGUUAACUAAGAAUGGGGCAUCCACAUAUGUGUGGCCAUAAUGUGUAUAAUGUUUGUCUGCGUUAAAUAUUGUAGUGUGAAAUGCUUGGUUUUGUUUGCUUUAUCAUUUCUGGCCAUCAAUAUUAAAUGUUGAAUCAGGAAUUUUUUAACAUUGAGGAUGAUAUAAAUUAUGUUCAUGAGGUUUUAUUUGUUUGCUGUGAGUUGAAUUGUGUGGCGUUGAAGGUUUAUUCACUCCAAAGAUAAUCAUAUGGUGCAAGUGUGAAAGGAAAGACUGAAAAUAGGAAUUUCAUUAGAUAAUGGCAACACCACAGCUUUAUGGAUAUUAUUUUGAGGGAAAGUCCAACUUGAAAUGUUUUUCUUUUUAUCAUAUAUACUGAUAAAUUAUUUGUUGAGCUAUGCAUUAUAAAUGUAUGUUUUG